AAAAACAUAGCUAGAUGGUUUUAAUAUUUAGUGCUGCCUGCUCAAUGAGCUUAUCUUUAAUUGCCGCAGUACCUUGACUGUGCUAAGGUAGCAUAAUAAUUUGGCUUAUAAUUGAAGUCUGGAAUGAAUGGAUUUUUGGAUAAAAACUGUCUUAAAUUAAGUAUUAAAAAGUUUUUAAAUAGGUGCAAACCCCUAUAAGCAGAAAUUAGACGAGAAGACCCUUAGAGUUUUAAAUAAAUAUUAAUUUUAAUUCCCUUUUUGUUGGGGCGACAAAAUUACACCUUAACUAAUUUUUUUAAAAUUUACAUGAGAUUAAUUAGAAUGAAUAAACUACCUAAGGGAUAACAGCAUAAUUUAUUAAUUAGAUUGUGACCUCGAUGUUGGACUAGGAAAUAGUAAAGCUAGCAGCUAUACUAUUUUGUUCUGUUCGAACUUUUUUCUCCUACGUGAUCU
rnacentral:rRNA from 1 species